UACGUAGGGGGCAAGCGUUGUCCGGAAUCAUUGGGCGUAAAGAGCGUGUAGGCGGCCCGGUAAGUCCGUUGUGAAAGUCCAGGGCUCAACCCUGGAAUGCCGAUGGAUACUGCCGGGCUAGAGUUCGGAAGAGGCGAGUGGAAUUCCUGGUGUAGCGGUGGAAUGCGCAGAUAUCAGGAGGAACACCUAUAGCGAAGGCAGCUCGCUGGGACGUCACUGACGCUGAGGCGCGAAAGCGUGGGGAGCGAACAGG
rnacentral:rRNA from 1 species